ACUUGGAAAAGAAUUAUCAUUGGGGGCGCUGUCGUAUCCGGAAGCAUGGCGGUGGAAGUUGGAAGCUGAAUGGAGUCGUCGUGCAUUCACCACUCACAUCAUAAUUUAUUAUCAGACGUGACAUCAUCUGAUCAUGAUUUUGAAGUGCACAGUGAACUCAUUUUGGUAAAUUACAAAACAGCCGUCGACAUGGAUAUGGUCAUGAUUAUGAUGGGGAUUGAUGAAUGAUGAGAAAGAUUCCUGUUAUGUGACUGAGCAUUCUGUUGUGGAUUCUCGUGAAUCAGAUCCGAUCACUGACAGACCUCAAGAGGAUCAACAACCAGCCAGUGUGACGAUACUCCCAUGAUCCUCAGCAGACAGGUGCUUGUAACUCUUGUAACUUCUGUCGGAGACGAAAGCUUGACACGAAAAUAAAGGGAUUUUGUCAUCAAGUUUUAAGCUGAACUGCCAGAAGAGGGUGCGUACUGGAUAGAUGAACCAUUUGGUUGCGA